CAGUCGAACGGAACUGUUUUGAAAGAUUUCUUCGGAAUGAAUUUGAUUUAGUUCAGUGGCGGACGGGUGAGUAACGCGUGAGUAACCUGCCUUCAAGAGGGGGAUAACAUUCUGAAAAGAAUGCUAAUACCGCAUGACAUAUCGGAACCACAUGGUUCUGAUAUCAAAGAUUUUAUCGCUUGAAGAUGGACUCGCGUCCGAUUAGUUAGUUGGUGAGGUAACGGCUCACCAAGACCGCGAUCGGUAGCCGGACUGAGAGGUUGAACGGCCACAUUGGGACUGAGACACGGCCCAGACUCCUACGGGAGGCAGCAGUGGGGGAUAUUGCGCAAUGGGGGCAACCCUGACGCAGCAACGCCGCGUGAAGGAUGAAGGUUUUCGGAUUGUAAACUUCUUUUAUUAAGGACGAAAAUUGACGGUACUUAAUGAAUAAGCUCCGGCUAACUACGUGCCAGCAGCCGCGGUAAUACGUAGGGAGCAAGCGUUGUCCGGAUUUACUGGGUGUAAAGGGUGCGUAGGCGGCUUUGCAAGUCAGAUGUGAAAUCUAUGGGCUCAACCCAUAAACUGCAUUUGAAACUGUAGAGCUUGAGUGAAGUAGAGGCAGGCGGAAUUCCCCGUGUAGCGGUGAAAUGCGUAGAGAUGGGGAGGAACACCAGUGGCGAAGGCGGCCUGCUGGGCUUUAACUGACGCUGAGGCACGAAAGCGUGGGUAGCAAACAGGAUUAGAUACCCUGGUAGUCCACGCUGUAAACGAUGAUUACUAGGUGUGGGGGGUCUGACCCCUUCCGUGCCGGAGUUAACACAAUAAGUAAUCC
rnacentral:rRNA from 1 species